UACGAAGGUGGCAAGCGUUACUCGGAAUUACUAGGCGUAAAGGGCAGGUAGGCGGUUUGGUUAGUCUGUUGUGAAAGCUCCUUGCUUAACGGGGAGAGGCCAACAGAUACUGCCAAGCUUGAGUAUAGGAGAGGGUACUGGAAUUCCCGGUGUAGCGGUGAAAUGCGCAGAGAUCGGGAGGAACACCAAUGGCGAAAGCAGGUACCUGGACUAUUACUGACGCUCAGCUGCGAAAGCUAGGGGAGCAAACAGG
rnacentral:rRNA from 1 species